rnacentral:lncRNA from 1 species
UGAUGUGGGAUAGGGUCAGAAUGACUUCUAGAUCCUCUGUUCUGUUUUUAUAAAAUUAUUAUAAAUUGUACAAAAAUGUUUAUAAGAUGAAGUUUAUAUGCUUAGACUCAAUAAUGAGUCUAGUUUCAAAUGAAAUAAACGAGAACAUAUUUUGAAUUUUGUACAAUGAGAAAUUUGAUUCGUAGUAAAGAGUGGUCAGAUUAGUCAAACAGUGAAAUAAGGGAAACUUUAAGAAACAUUUGGUAUUGAUUGGCCAAACCAAAAAUCCUGAAAAUUUUAUGGGUA